UAACCUUAUUUGAUUUCACGA
rnacentral:miRNA from 1 species